GGGUUGUGAGGUUAAGCGACUAAGCGUACACGGUGGAUGCCCUGGCAGUCAGAGGCGAUGAAGGACGUGCUAAUCUGCGAAAAGCGUCGGUAAGGUGAUAUGAACCGUUAUAACCGGCGAUGUCCGAAUGGGGAAACCCAGUGCAAUUCGUUGCACUAUCGUUAACUGAAUACAUAGGUUAACGAGGCGAACCGGGGGAACUGAAACAUCUAAGUACCCCGAGGAAAAGAAAUCAACCGAGAUUCCCCCAGUAGCGGCGAGCGAACGGGGAGCAGCCCAGAGUCUGAAUCAGCUUGUGUGUUAGUGGAACGGUCUGGAAAGUCCGACGGUACAGGGUGAUAGUCCCGUACACCAAAAUGCACAGGUUGUGAACUCGAAGAGUAGGGCGGGACACGUGGUAUCCUGUCUGAAUAUGGGGGGACCAUCCUCCAAGGCUAAAUACUCCUGACUGACCGAUAGUGAACCAGUACCGUGAGGGAAAGGCGAAAAGAACCCCGGCGAGGGGAGUGAAAAAGAACCUGAAACCGUGUACGUACAAGCAGUGGGAGCACCUUCGGGUGUGACUGCGUACCUUUUGUAUAAUGGGUCAGCGACUUAUAUUCUGUAGCAAGGUUAACCGUAUAGGGGAGCCGCAGGGAAACCGAGUCUUAACUGGGCGUUAAGUUGCAGGGUAUAGACCCGAAACCCGGUGAUCUAGCCAUGGGCAGGUUGAAGGUUGGGUAACACUAACUGGAGGACCGAACCGACUAAUGUUGAAAAAUUAGCGGAUGACUUGUGGCUGGGGGUGAAAGGCCAAUCAAACCGGGAGAUAGCUGGUUCUCCCCGAAAGCUAUUUAGGUAGCGCCUCGUGAACUCAUCUUCGGGGGUAGAGCACUGUUUCGGCUAGGGGGUCAUCCCGACUUACCAACCCGAUGCAAACUACGAAUACCGAAGAAUGUUAUCACGGGAGACACACGGCGGGUGCUAACGUCCGUCGUGAAGAGGGAAACAACCCAGACCGCCAGCUAAGGUCCCAAAGUCAUGGUUAAGUGGGAAACGAUGUGGGAAGGCACAGACAGCCAGGAUGUUGGCUUAGAAGCAGCCAUCAUUUAAAGAAAGCGUAAUAGCUCACUGGUCGAGUCGGCCUGCGCGGAAGAUGUAACGGGGCUAAACCAUGCACCGAAGCUGCGGCAGCGACACUAUGUGUUGUUGGGUAGGGGAGCGUUCUGUAAGCCUGCGAAGGUGACCUGUGAGGGUUGCUGGAGGUAUCAGAAGUGCGAAUGCUGACAUAAGUAACGAUAAAGCGGGUGAAAAGCCCGCUCGCCGGAAGACCAAGGGUUCCUGUCCAACGUUAAUCGGGGCAGGGUGAGUCGACCCCUAAGGCGAGGCCGAAAGGCGUAGUCGAUGGGAAACAGGUUAAUAUUCCUGUACUUGGUGUUACUGCGAAGGGGGGACGGAGAAGGCUAUGUUAGCCGGGCGACGGUUGUCCCGGUUUAAGCAUGUAGGCUGGUUAUCCAGGCAAAUCCGGAUAAUCAAGGCUGAGGUGUGAUGACGAGGCACUACGGUGCUGAAGUAACAAAUGCCCUGCUUCCAGGAAAAGCCUCUAAGCAUCAGGUAACAUUAAAUCGUACCCCAAACCGACACAGGUGGUCAGGUAGAGAAUACCAAGGCGCUUGAGAGAACUCGGGUGAAGGAACUAGGCAAAAUGGUGCCGUAACUUCGGGAGAAGGCACGCUGGUGUGUAGGUGAAGCCCCUGCGGGUGGAGCUGAGACCAGUCGAAGAUACCAGCUGGCUGCAACUGUUUAUUAAAAACACAGCACUGUGCAAACACGAAAGUGGACGUAUACGGUGUGACGCCUGCCCGGUGCCGGAAGGUUAAUUGAUGGGGUUAUCCGUAAGGAGAAGCUCUUGAUCGAAGCCCCGGUAAACGGCGGCCGUAACUAUAACGGUCCUAAGGUAGCGAAAUUCCUUGUCGGGUAAGUUCCGACCUGCACGAAUGGCGUAAUGAUGGCCAGGCUGUCUCCACCCGAGACUCAGUGAAAUUGAACUCGCUGUGAAGAUGCAGUGUACCCGCGGCAAGACGGAAAGACCCCGUGAACCUUUACUAUAGCUUGACACUGAACAUUGAGCCUUGAUGUGUAGGAUAGGUGGGAGGCUUUGAAGCGUGGACGCCAGUCUGCGUGGAGCCAACCUUGAAAUACCACCCUUUAAUGUUUGAUGUUCUAACGUUGGCCCCUGACCGGGGUUGCGGACAGUGUCUGGUGGGUAGUUUGACUGGGGCGGUCUCCUCCCAAAGCGUAACGGAGGAGCACGAAGGUUAGCUAAUCCUGGUCGGACAUCAGGAGGUUAGUGCAAUGGCAUAAGCUAGCUUGACUGCGAGCGUGACGGCGCGAGCAGGUGCGAAAGCAGGUCAUAGUGAUCCGGUGGUUCUGAAUGGAAGGGCCAUCGCUCAACGGAUAAAAGGUACUCCGGGGAUAACAGGCUGAUACCGCCCAAGAGUUCAUAUCGACGGCGGUGUUUGGCACCUCGAUGUCGGCUCAUCACAUCCUGGGGCUGAAGUAGGUCCCAAGGGUAUGGCUGUUCGCCAUUUAAAGUGGUACGCGAGCUGGGUUUAGAACGUCGUGAGACAGUUCGGUCCCUAUCUGCCGUGGGCGCUGGAGAAUUGAGGGGGGCUGCUCCUAGUACGAGAGGACCGGAGUGGACGCAUCACUGGUGUUCGGGUUGUCAUGCCAAUGGCACUGCCCGGUAGCUAAAUGCGGAAGAGAUAAGUGCUGAAAGCAUCUAAGCACGAAACUUGCCCCGAGAUGAGUUCUCCCUGAGACUUUAAGUCUCCUGAAGGAACGUUGAAGACGACGACGUUGAUAGGCCGGGUGUGUAAGCGCAGCGAUGCGUUGAGCUAACCGGUACUAAUGAACCGUGAGGCUUAACCUUACAACGCCGAAG
rnacentral:rRNA from 1 species